rnacentral:snRNA from 1 species
GUGUUGCAGCUUGUAACACAUGUACUAAACUGGGAACGAUACAGAGAAGAUUAGCAUGGCCCCUGUAGUAAGGAUGACACGCACAAUCGUGAAGCGUUCCUAAUUUUU